rnacentral:rRNA from 1 species
AUGAACGCUGGCGGCGUGCCUAAUACAUGCAAGUCGAACGAGUUCUGAUUAUUGAAAGGUGCUUGCAUCUUGAUUUAAUUUUGAACGAGUGGCGGACGGGUGAGUAACACGUGGGUAACCUGCCCUUAAGUGGGGGAUAACAUUUGGAAACAGAUGCUAAUACCGCAUAAAUCCAAGAACCGCAUGGUUCUUGGCUGAAAGAUGGCGCAAGCUAUCGCUUUUGGAUGGACCCGCGGCGUAUUAGCUAGUUGGUGAGGUAACGGCUCACCAAGGCAAUGAUACGUAGCCGAACUGAGAGGUUGAUCGGCCACAUUGGGACUGAGACACGGCCCAAACUCCUACGGGAGGCAGCAGUAGGGAAUCUUCCACAAUGGACGCAAGUCUGAUGGAGCAACGCCGCGUGAGUGAAGAAGGCUUUCGGGUCGUAAAACUCUGUUGUUGGAGAAGAAUGGUCGGCAGAGUAACUGUUGUCGGCGUGACGGUAUCCAACCAGAAAGCCACGGCUAACUACGUGCCAGCAGCCGCGGUAAUACGUAGGUGGCAAGCGUUAUCCGGAUUUAUUGGGCGUAAAGCGAGCGCAGGCGGUUUUUUAAGUCUGAUGUGGAAGCCCUCGGCUUAACCGAGGAAGUGCAUCGGAAACUGGGAAACUUGAGUGCAGAAGAGGACAGUGGAACUCCAUGUGUAGCGGUGAAAUGCGUAGAUAUAUGGAAGAACACCAGUGGCGAAGGCGGCUGUCUGGUCUGUAACUGACGCUGAGGCUCGAAAGCAUGGGUAGCGAACAGGAUUAGAUACCCUGGUAGUCCAUGCCGUAAACGAUGAAUGCUAGGUGUUGGAGGGUUUCCGCCCUUCAGUGCCGCAGCUAACGCAUUAAGCAUUCCGCCUGGGGAGUACGACCGCAAGGUUGAAACUCAAAGGAAUUGACGGGGGCCCGCACAAGCGGUGGAGCAUGUGGUUUAAUUCGAAGCAACGCGAAGAACCUUACCAGGUCUUGACAUCUUUUGAUCACCUGAGAGAUCAGGUUUCCCCUUCGGGGGCAAAAUGACAGGUGGUGCAUGGUUGUCGUCAGCUCGUGUCGUGAGAUGUUGGGUUAAGUCCCGCAACGAGCGCAACCCUUAUGACUAGUUGCCAGCAUUUAGUUGGGCACUCUAGUAAGACUGCCGGUGACAAACCGGAGGAAGGUGGGGAUGACGUCAAAUCAUCAUGCCCCUUAUGACCUGGGCUACACACGUGCUACAAUGGAUGGUACAACGAGUUGCGAGACCGCGAGGUCAAGCUAAUCUCUUAAAGCCAUUCUCAGUUCGGACUGUAGGCUGCAACUCGCCUACACGAAGUCGGAAUCGCUAGUAAUCGCGGAUCAGCACGCCGCGGUGAAUACGUUCCCGGGCCUUGUACACACCGCCCGUCACACCAUGAGAGUUUGUAACACCCGAAGCCGGUGGCGUAACCCUUUUAGGGAGCGAGCCGUCUAAGGUGGGACAAAUGAUUAGGGUG